UGGUCAUGGACGACGGAGACAUCGAUUUCUCGAAUCCUGAUGUCUUCUCUGGACCCAACGCUGGUGAUGAUCUUCCGGGCAGCCGCUCGAUAGAUAGUUUCUUCGAUGACAUCUUCAAUGACGGGCAACAGCAUACAUGCACCCACACCCACACUUGCAACCCUCUCUCACACACACAUACCUGCUUCCAUGUCCACACCAAGAUCGUCUCGGCCCCCCCUGAUGAAGCUGUCGAGUCAAUGGAGAAGAGCUCUUCUACAAAGAAAAGGUCUUGCGGUAAUCGAGAAGCUGUUCGGAAGUAUAGGCAGAAGAAGAAGGCACAUGCUGCAUCCUUGGAGGAGGAGGUUGCUCAUCUGAGAGCAAUCAACCAGCAACUGAUGAAGAGGCUUCAAGGCCAAGCUGCUUUGGAAGCUGAGGUUGCAAGGCUUCGAUGCUUGCUUGUGGAUAUGAGGGGAAGGAUUGAAGGAGAGAUUGGAUCAUUUCCUUAUCAGAAGCCAGCGAAAGGGAGUGGGGAUUUUGUUUCUAAUGCUACCCAAGCAAACAUGCUGGGUGGUGCUCAGGUUCUAAAUUCAUGUGGUUUCUGUUGUGAUGAUCAGGUUUACUGCCUUUAUCCAGGGAUGCAGGGGAAGAAUGUGGGAGAAAACAGUGUACUUAACAGUCAGGGUAAUCGAGUGUGUGGGAUUGAGACGGUGCAGUGUGUGGGGAGGUCAACUUCUGGACCUAAGGAAUUUGUGGGCUGCGGAAAUGGGUCUGCAAGACUUGUUGACUGCUCAUGUGAUGCCACAAAGAUAGAUGAUCAAGCAGAGAUAUGCUAAACUCGAGUUGAGUCGAGCUUUUCUAAUUUUUGAAAAUGUAUCUAAACAGAGUCCCUAAUUAAACUGAUGGCAAUUGGAGUUCUGGAGCUUAUGUGACAAAGGAGGAUGUCUGAUCCGAUACCCGACAUCCGUUCAAGUCGAUGCAUAAACAAUGGUUCAUCUAUAUCUGCAGCCAAUAAGAUUGAACUCAGCAGCUGUGUUUGUAGCAUUAAACUUGAAAAGUAUUUUCUGUUUGGUCUUACUUUUCAUUGGCAUCUACAACUUAAAUGAACUCAGUUAGCAGCUGUUUCUAUUGAUCCUUGAACUUGAUCUGUCAAUUUAUUUCGAGUUACUUCUAUUA